rnacentral:rRNA from 1 species
ACUCCUACGGGAGGCAGCAGUAGGGAAUCUUCCGCAAUGGGCGCAAGCCUGACGGAGCAACGCCGCGUGAGUGAUGAAGGUUUUCGGAUCGUAAAGCUCUGUUGCCAGGGAAGAACGUCCGGUAGAGUAACUGCUGCCGGAGUGACGGUACCUGAGAAGAAAGCCCCGGCUAACUACGUGCCAGCAGCCGCGGUAAUACGUAGGGGGCAAGCGUUGUCCGGAAUUAUUGGGCGUAAAGCGCGCGCAGGCGGUUAUUUAAGUCUGGUGUUUAAACCUUGGGCUCAACCUGAGGUCGCACUGGAAACUGGGUGACUUGAGUACAGAAGAGGAAAGUGGAAUUCCACGUGUAGCGGUGAAAUGCGUAGAUAUGUGGAGGAACACCAGUGGCGAAGGCGACUUUCUGGGCUGUAACUGACGCUGAGGCGCGAAAGCGUGGGGAGCAAAUAGGAUUAGAUACCCUGGUAGUCCACGCCGUAAACGAUGAGUGCUAGGUGUUAGGGGUUUCGAUACCCUUGGUGCCGAAGUUAACACAGUAAGCACUCCGCCUGGGGAGUACGGUCGCAAGACUGAAACUGAAAGGAAUUGACGG